rnacentral:tRNA from 2 species
GAGAGAUGCUCGCUAGCAACGAAGACUGCUAAUCUUCGCCACCUCGGUUGGACCCCGAGGCUCACUCG